UACGAAGGGUGCAAACGUUGCUCGGAAUUAUUGGGCGUAAAGCGCGUGUAGGCGGCUUGGCAAGUCGGGUGUGAAAUCCCUCGGCUUAACCGAGGAACUGCCUUCCAAACUGCUUCGCUUGAGACCGGGAGAGGUGAGUGGAAUUCCCAGUGUAGCGGUGAAAUGCGUAGAUAUCGGGAGGAACACCGGUGGCGAAGGCGGCCUUCUGGACGGAUACUGACGCUGAGACGCGAAAGCGUGGGGAGCAAACAGG
rnacentral:rRNA from 1 species